rnacentral:lncRNA from 1 species
AGGCUCUAAGCAGUGGGAGGAGUGGCAGCUGCCAGCAUGUACUCACUCAGGCGCCCGGCCACCACGAUCUCAGAGCCAUCGUAGAAGUGCUGGGGAGUUGGACACAGACAUCCAGAGGGAAGACAUGUGCAGACACAGGGAGAAGACAGCCAUUGAUAAGCCAUGGAGAAAAGGAAAGAGGCCUAGAAAGAUCUGCCCUCAUAGCCCUCAGAAGGAACCAACCCACCGCCACAUGGAUCUGGGAUGUCCGGGCUCUGGAACUGGGAGACAAUACGUUUCUCUCAUUGAAGCCACUUGGUACUUUGGUAUGGCAGCCGCCAUACACUAAUACAAUGUCCUGUGCAAUAUUUGGGGCAUACUUACACUACAAAAAUUCAUUAUUUAUCAGAAAUUCAUAUUGAACCAGAUGUCCUGUGUUUGCUCUGAUAAUCCUGUUGAAGAAACGGGCCUGUUGUGUAGCCCAAGGACAAAAUCAGAAUCUUUACUGAUGGGUAAGAGAUAGUCAGAGGUGGAUUUUGACCCAAGACGAAGCUCUUCCUAAUAACUAGAACUGUCACCUUAUGGAGCAGCUGUCUGAGGAAGUAGUGAGCUCCUUAUGCCCGGAAGUGUGCAAGACAAGGCAUA